rnacentral:rRNA from 1 species
UGGGGAAUCUUGCACAAUGGGGGCAACCCUGAUGCAGCGACGCCGCGUGAGCGAUGAAGCCCUUCGGGGCGUAAAGCUCUUUCGACCGGAACGAUAAUGACGGUACCGGGAGAAGAAGCUGCGGCUAACUACGUGCCAGCAGCCGCGGUAAUACGUAGGCAGCAAGCGUUGUUCGGAGUUACUGGGCGUAAAGAGUGCGUAGGCGGUUUUCUAAGUUCGGUGUGAAAUCUCCCGGCUUAACUGGGAGGGUGCGCCGAAGACUGGGAAGCGGGAGUGUGGGGAAGGCAGGCGGAAUUCCUGGUGUAGCGGUGAAAUGCGUAGAUAUCAGGAGGAACACCGGCGGUGUAGACGGCUUGCUAGACCAUAACUGACGCUGAGGCGCGAAAGCGUGGGUAGCAAACA